rnacentral:rRNA from 1 species
UGCCUCCUACGGGGGGCAGCAGUGGGGAAUAUUGCACAAUGGGGGAAACCCUGAUGCAGCGACGCCGCGUGGGCGAGGAAGUACCUCGGUAUGUAAAGCCCUAUCAGCAGGGAAGAAACAGGACAGUACCUGACUAAGAAGCCCCGGCUAACUACGUGCCAGCAGCCGCGGUAAUACGUAGGGGGCAAGCGUUAUCCGGAUUUACUGGGUGUAAAGGGAGCGUAGACGGCUGAGCAAGUCUGAAGUGAAAGGCGGGGGCCCAACCCCCGGACUGCUUUGGAAACUGAAUAGUUAGAGUGCAGGAG